rnacentral:rRNA from 1 species
GACGAACGCUGGCGGCGUGCUUAACACAUGCAAGUGGAGCGACGAACCAGGCUUCGGCCUGGGGCAAAGCCGCGAACGGGUGAGUAACACGUGGGUAACCCACCCAGAUGACCGGGACAACCCGAGGAAACUCGGGCUAAUACCGGAUGUGCUCGCGCCCCAUAAGGGGCAUGAGUAAAGGUAGCUUCGGCCUCCGCAUCGGGACGGGCCCGCGGCCCAUUAGCUUGUUGGUGAGGUAAAGGCUCACCAAGGGCGACGAUGGGUAGCUGGUCUGAGAGGACGAUCAGCCACACUGGGACUGAGACACGGCCCAGACUCCUACGGGAGGCAGCAGUGGGGAAUCUUGCGCAAUGCGCGAAAGCGUGACGCAGCAACGCCGCGUGGGGAAGACGGCCG